ACAGCAAGGCUCUCUGUCGCACCGCGCUGCCACGACGUAAAUGUUGCAGAGCAGAGAGCUCACGGCAGUUCUCGUUGGGCCAGUCCCCAAGAAGUUGGCAUUCAGUAGCCACGCAACGUCCGCCAGUCGAGGUUGCCCGGCUCCCAGUUAGCUAUCAGCCAGUUGGCCGAUCGAGUGGCCAAAAAGAAAAGUAAAGAGGAAGAAGAAUUCAACGAACGAACCCUUUCGUUCCCUUUAGCCAAGUUCUGGCCUUUGGGCCGCAAAAGUGCAGCGACAGUCGAGCCGAGAGCCUCCAGCGAAACAGUCGCAGGUCGCUGCUCUAUCUAAAAAAAAAAAACUAAACUAAAAACCAAAAAAAAAGGAAAGAAAAAGAAACAACAACAUAAAUUCCAAGUGAUCAGCCAGCGGAAUUUGAAACCGUUAAGUACACUUUGCUGUGUCUGUGUGUUUGUACUCUCGUCGUACUGGCUAAGUUCUCUGAUACGCUCUAUAAGGCUAUAUAUCGUAUCGUGUGUAAUUUAAUUCCGGCGGGCUCAUAAUCAAUUCGCCGUAAUCCAUUUCCAUUUAAUAUUAACGUCGCGACAACUCCCCAAAAAGAAAAACAAAUAUAUAAUGAAAACAACCUCAAUGGGAAGCCAGAAAACGAGUAUUUAUGACAGGUGUGACGGUGUUGGAGCUGGAAAAUUACAGGUGAGUGAGCAGUCAUUAGGGAAGCAUUUAUUAUAAUCAAGUGACAAGCGGCAAAGGGUUGGGGUUAGCCUCUAUUACAAAAGGUAGAUAAAUGUCAAAUGUCAAAUAUCAAGUAUCCGACAUGUGUGACAAAGAGAGGGUAGGGCGGUAAGGUUUUUGGUUUCAAAGAAGCAAAGGAAAAGGGAGGAAAUAUUACCCUGCGUAAAAAGUAAAAACUUUUAUUUUCAAGACUCCGCAGUAUAUAGUAUAUAUUCUUGUAAGAAAUUAAGCCUUAACAUACCGAAAAAGCAGAUCUUAAACAAGAAUUCAGGAAGUGCUAUAAAUGUGGGUAUAUCUAAAACUCUUUCCUUUCGACCAUCUCUCCAUUCCUUAGCGUACUUUCUCAAUGCAAUAAACGAGUCAUCAAUCUAACCGAACCGAUUCAUCAGCACAUUUGCUACGCUUUUCCCAAGCAGCGAGCGCACCCCAACUUCCAUUCCCGUUGUCCAUGCAAAUUCCUGCCGCUGCUGUUGUUGGUCAAUAACACUGCCAAUCACUUUCUGCCUAAUCAUGCGUCUCAGUCGCUCAUCAGCCCUUUUCUCCUUUUUGGAGCCUUGUAUUUACGGCUCACGAUAAAUGAUGUUAAAUAGUCCGUGGCCGGAAUGAAUUCGCAGUUUCUGUAGGCAGAUCGAUUCUGGUUUUUACACGUGAGCGGUUAUCUUAUCGCCUUUUUGCCUUCGAAACUCUUAUCAGCCCGGUCAAAAGUGACAAUUUCAUUUGGCAGAGAGGGCAUCCCCGCUAACUGCUGAUAAGCAAAUUAGCUCUAAUUGAGCUAAGCUGGCCGAAAGCAGAUAACAUGGCGUUUUUCGGGGGGCGUUAACUUAAGACUUCUAAAGCCUUUAGCCGCUUCAGCCUCGGGUGGUUCUCACAUUUGUUAUGGCAAAAAAAAAAAACACAGAAAAAAAGCUAAGAAAAUAAGCAAAAAAAUCAUAGUAAAGAAAAGUGGCCGCAAAGAGUGCUUAAAGCAGACCAGUGGACGCGGUGGGGGGAGGACAGGUGGAACUAGCCCAAAAGAAAAGAAUUUCUACUUAUAACGAGUUUUUAUUACAAACGCGCGAAAGCGACGAGGUAGCCGAAAAUCUACUAAAAAAAGGAAGACAAAAAUAGGAGAAAAAAAGUAGUAGUAGCAGAAAAAGGUAGUAAAAAGGGGCAAAGCGAGCGAGGCUAACUGAAUUCCUUCUGGGUGGCUCAAAAGUGGGGUGGACAGCGGAAGGGUUGCACAUAAAAAGUAACAGCAUUUUUGCCUACACUGCGCGAAAAUGAAGUAGGAAUUCGAUAUCGAAAUGAACUAUUAAGAGUGUUAAAAGAUCUAAGAUCUAUUAGAACUCUCUUUUUGUAUUUUCAAAGGUAAAGAGAAAUGUUAAAUUAAUUUAAAGUUAAUAUUUUCAAAGAAAAGGUUAAAGGCAAAGAAAGCACCUAAGCUUGAAGAACAAAAAAAAUGUAUUUUUCGAAGUUUAAAAUAUUUUUAAAUACGCAUUUUAAGUAAGAAUUUUCACGAAAAGGCCAACAUCCUAUCCCAUUUCCUUUUCCCUAAGUGUAGACGCUGACAGAGAGGGCGCUAAAGGUUGGCUAGUAAGAGAGCGGUGGAACGAGUGGGAAAAGGAGCGGUAGACAGAUGAAGACCAAGACUGCGAAAGCAUGAAGCAACAUUAUUCAAAAGAAAGCCAAGUUAAGGCAUGCACACACACACACACACACUCACGCACACAGAGGCGAAAUAAAGAGACAGAUACAUGGCAGCAUAAUGCAGCAGCGAGAGAGUAUGAGUGAGAGGGGGCCGAGCAGAGAGGUAGAGGGUGGUAGUUGGGUGGCAGAUCGGGCCCGGCAUUAAACAUCAUUCAGCGACUGCGACGCUAACAGCGACGCCAACAGCGGCAGCGACGCCAGCAACAAUCACAUGCCGACAUUCUUUCAUUCGUACAACGACCUCGACUUUGAUUUGCAGUUUUUGGCCAACAAAAGAGAGCCGCUUCGGGCCAACUAAAGAGAGCCGGGACGCAACGGCCUCUAGACGACCUACACGCCUGAGCAAUGGCCGACUGGAAAAAGAGAGCCACCGAGAGAGUGCUAGCCGGCGAAUGAGAGCACGAACUUCGUGCUCGUGCGACUUGGACUUCGGUUCUCUUCGGUUCUCCGAACAAUCGGAACAUAGCUUUGCUCGCUCGCUGGCUGCGAAACUCCAUUCAUUCGUUCUGCGCGUCUCGUCUGUGCCGGUUGUCUGCUGGCUCUCUCUCCUGCCUCUCUCUCUUCGCCCAGCCGCCCCCUCAUAGAAACACACACAUACACAACCUCACUAACUGACAGUGCAAAUGUUAAACAAAGACAAAGGCAGUAACACACACACACACACACUUGAACAAACAGUGCUCCAGCUAAAUAAGUGCAAAAAUCAUACAAAAAUAUUCCAAAUAAAAUAAAAUACAACAAAAAGUGAACAAUCAGCCAAAAACUCUGGGACAUAGCCAAUGCGUCAUUGCCGCAGUCGCUCAAUCCGGCAACAAGAGCUAUCGCCACAGACACGAGUAUUCGCACUCACACUCGUACUCGCACAGUUGCAAUUACAAAGUGCGAACGACAGGCCCAGACAUCGCACCCAUACAGCCAGCAUUAUGACAUUAUGGCAUUAUAGAACCGAGAUUUUGCUCAAGAGAUCGGAACUAAGGCGCUUGCAAAGUUUAGCAGUGCAGUGCGGUGGCUCUUGAAACAAGUUUCUAAUCUAUUUGAAAUUACUUUACAAGAAAGUAUAUAAACCUUGGCUAUUAGUUGGAUAAUGCCUUGGAAUAUAGAAAGAGAAUCAUCAUAUUCAAAUCAAGUUUCAAUUUUAUUAGCCAGUACAUCUUGAGAGUCUAUCUCAUCUUAUAGUAUUCAACAGCAGAUUGCUGUUUGAUAUCUUAGCAAGUUCUAGACUAGGGAACACUUUCUGUAAAAAUAACUGCUGAUAAACAAGCUUUGUAUUUUAAUCAACUACAUAACGCCUCUUCAAGAAGCUUACACAAUAUUUUAUUUUGGGUCUAAUCAAUCCAGUCUUAGUCUGGGAUCUGGAUGGAUAUCAUUAAGAAGUGACUUCCAAAAGAAUUUGAAGAUAUUCAAAACUUCGAACCACCACAAAGUGCACUCAAAACAAAAAAUAAUAUGUACUAGUUUUUCGCCAAGUGUAGAUUGGCAGACAGAAGGCAGACUGAAACCGCAGUGGGAGGGGCGCCGAGCAGUUAUCAGUCGCAGACCCAAACCCAUACCCAUAGCCAAGCCCAGACUCAGACUCAGAAACAGACUCAAAAUCAGGCUGCGGCUGAAACUGAGACGCCGCUGCCGGCGUUGUCUGGAAUUUGUAUUGCCCAUAUGGGAAGACACACUACACCACACAGCCACACACAUACACACACAUACUUACGCCCAUUUGCACACAUGGCCAACCGGAUGUUGCAGCCAUCUUUGUCAUCUUUUUCAAUCUCAGCCUUGGCUAAGGUCGCUCCUUGCCAUCUCCGUUUGUCAUACCAUCAACUAGAAAGAGACGAUGGUGGGCAACCGUGAGCAAGCGAGAAGGCAAAGAAGUAGCAGCCGAGUGGUUGCCGUCAAGUCGUGAAUUUAUAACAAAACGCUAGACUCGGCGACUCUGAAUCUGACCGACUGGUUUGGCGUGUUGGCCCGGCUAAAAUGGAUUUUUUAUGGCACAACGAACAAGCAAACAGAACAGCAACAACUGAAUCAAAAGCAUAAAAAUGCCGCAACCCAAAAACCCGCAACACGAAUUCUGAAUGGGCACCAUCUGAAAUUUUUUCAAAAAUUGAACAAGUGAGAUGGCUAUUAGAGAGUCAGCGAGAGAGAGAGAGAGACGGGGGGAGAGAAUCGGCGAUAAGAAAAAGCGGAUGUCUUCGUCGCUCUCUCUCACUCUCUCCCUUUGCCACGCUCUUUUGACAAAGAUGGAAAGAUGGAAAUCUUAAUGCAAACGGAUGGAAAUGGUAGUUGAGUAACACACACACACACACACCCGCAUACUUAUACAUUCUUGUGAGCCCAGGAACUUCCGGAAUGGAUGGCUUGACUCUUGAAUCCUUCGUCCUGAACCAACUUGACUCCGGGAUCUUGGCACAACUCGAGUCGGACGCUUCAGAUAAGAUUUGGCUGGCGAAGCGACUGGAUCCUGGUUGUGGAAUCAGGUAAGGGGUUUACCCUGAAGGCAUCAUUGGAUGCCUGAACAAACAAUCAUUAAUAUCAAUUUGACUUGGUAGCUGGACUCUUCUCCGGUUUUACGACUGCUACAGCAACAGCAGGGACACAAAUUAUUUAUUUAGUUCAUUUUCGGUUAUUCGCCUGCGGCAGAUGCUCCAAGUUUUCUCCCCCACUCCACCUACCGCAUCGAAGGAAAAACAUUUCAGCCUCCUUUUGAUUCAUGGCAAAUAAACAAUAAAUUAAAUUACCACAUUUGA